GCAAUAUGUGUGCAAGCAUUGUUAGAACCUUUAGAUAUGGUCUCACUUAAUCUUUACAAUCGCCCCAUGAAGGUGGCAGUAUUAUCUCCAUUUAAUAGAUGAGGAAGUCUAGACUGGGGGGUUAAGAAACCAAAGUUGUAAUUUUUGUUUGGCCACCAAUGAAAAAUGAAAACUCUAGACCAAAUGAUGGAUUUUUAAACUGUGUUUCUAGCAGCGCUUAGGCUUAGCAAAGAUGCCGGGGAUAGGAGGAGCUGCUGAGAGGGAAGGACUGGCCGUCGGCACCUCAGUUAUGGCAGCUCUGCCUUGGCGUGCUGGAAGAUGGACUGCCCUCCAAUGGUGUGCCCCGAUCUACAGCCCCAGGUGGAAUACCCAACCCAGAGAAGAAGACGAACUGUGAGAUCCAGUGCCCAAAUCCACAGAGCCUCAGCUCAGGCCCUCUGACCCAGAAACAGAAUGGCCUUCAGACCACAGAGGUGGCCUUCUAGAGACCUAAUCAUCAUUGCCAUCUCUCAAGACAGUCUGGACCCACAGAACUACGUUCAAAAGCUUGGUGACU
rnacentral:sRNA from 1 species